AGAGUUUGAUCAUGGCUCAGGACGAACGCUGGCGGCGCGCCUAACACAUGCAAGUCGAACGGAGUCAAGAGAAGCUUGCUUUUCUUGACUUAGUGGCGAACGGGUGAGUAACGCGUGAGUAACCUGCCCUGGAGUGGGGGGACAACAGUUGGAAACGACUGCUAAUACCGCAUAAGCCCACGGCCCGGCCAUCGGGCGUGAGGGAAAAGGGAAUUUAUUCGCUUCAGGAUGGACUCGCGUCCAAUUAGCUAGUUGGUGAGG
rnacentral:rRNA from 1 species